rnacentral:rRNA from 1 species
AAAGGCUGCGGUAUUUUGACCGUACAAAGGUAGCAUAAUCAUUAGUUUUUUAAUUGAAAACUCGUAUGAAAGGUUUAACGAAAUAUUGACUGUUUCAUAAAAAUUUAAGUAGAAAUUAAUUUUUUAGUCAAAAAGCUAAAAUAUAAUUAAAAGACGAGAAGACCCUAUAGAGUUUUAUAUUAAAAAUUUUAUAAUUAAUUUAUAAUAUUUAAAGUUUUAUUGUUAUUUAUAUUUUGUUGGGGUGACAGUAAAAUUUUUAUAUCUUUUAUUUUUUAUAAAACAAUGAUUUUUGAAUAAUUGAUCCACUUUUAGUGAUUAUAAGAUUAAAUUACCUUAGGGAUAACAGCG